rnacentral:misc_RNA from 1 species
GAAGACUUGAGCUAUUUCAAAAAUAUAUUAGGGGAAAGAGGGGUGGUUCAAGAUGAAGAGACACUCGAUGCUGUGAACACGGAUUGGAUGAGGAAAUACAAGGGCACCAGUAAACUUAUGCUCCAACCUCGGACAGCAGAGGAGGUAUCUCAGAUUCUUAAAUAUUGCAAUUCCAGGUGCCUGGCUGUUGUUCCACAAGGGGGGAAUACAGGUCUUGUGGGAGGAAGUGUUCCUGCUUUUGAUGAGGUGAUCGUCAGUAUCAGUCAUAUGAAUAAAUUCAUUUCUUUUGACAAGGUUAGUGGCAUACUGGUUUGUGAGGCAGGAUGUAUUUUGGAAAACCUCAUCGCAUUUCUUGAUAACCAAGGGUUUGUUAUGCCACUAGAUUUAGGUGCUAAAG